rnacentral:rRNA from 1 species
ACGGGGGGAGCAAGCGUUGUUCGGAUUUACUGGGCGUAAAGGGCGCGUAGGCGGCCACCGCGAGUCGACUGUGAAAUCUCCGGGCUUAACCCGGAAAGGUCAGCCGAUACUGCGGGGCUAGAGUGCAGAAGGGGCAACUGGAAUUCCCGGUGUAGCAGUGAAAUGCGUAGAGAUCGGGAGGAACACCAGUGGCGAAGACGACUGUCUGGGGAGCAACUGACGCUGAGGCGCGAAAGCUGGGGGAGCAAACGGGA